rnacentral:tRNA from 1 species
GCCUAGUUAGCUUAGUUGGUAGUGCGUCUGCCUUGUAAGCGCUAGGCCGCAGGUUCUAUUCCCGCCCGGGGCG